AUACGAAGGGGGCUAGCGUUGCUCGGAAUUACUGGGCGUAAAGGGAGCGUAGGCGGACAUUUAAGUCAGGGGUGAAAUCCCAGAGCUCAACUCUGGAACUGCCUUUGAUACUGGGUGUCUUGAGUGUGAGAGAGGUAUGUGGAACUCCGAGUGUAGAGGUGAAAUUCGUAGAUAUUCGGAAGAACACCAGUGGCGAAGGCGACAUACUGGCUCAUUACUGACACUGAGGCUCGAAAGCGUGGGGAGC
rnacentral:rRNA from 1 species